GACGAACGCUGGCGGCGUGCCUAAUACAUGCAAGUCGAACGAGAGCGACCGGUGCUUGCACUGGUCAAUCUAGUGGCGAACGGGUGAGUAACACGUGGGUAACCUGCCCAUCAGAGGGGGAUAACAUUCGGAAACGGAUGCUAAAACCGCAUAGGUUCUACAGUCGCAUGACUGAAGAAGGAAAAGAGGCUUCGGCUUCUGCUGAUGGAUGGACCCGCGGUGCAUUAGCUAGUUGGUGAGGUAACGGCUCACCAAGGCCGUGAUGCAUAGCCGACCUGAGAGGGUGAUCGGCCACAUUGGGACUGAGACACGGCCCAAACUCCUACGGGAGGCAGCAGUAGGGAAUCUUCCGCAAUGGACGCAAGUCUGACGGAGCAACGCCGCGUGAGUGAAGAAGGAUUUCGGUUCGUAAAACUCUGUUGUUAGAGAAGAACAGCGCAUAGAGUAACUGUUAUGCGGGUGACGGAUCUAACCAGAAAGCC
rnacentral:rRNA from 1 species